UGUCGUCCAUAAAUAUUAUCUCUGACCAGGCCUCAUACUAGUAACUCAGCCUGACGAUAGUCCCCGACUAAAGUAUUCAAGUAUCGCAGACCAAGAGGAUGUCGGGAGCUGAAGCGAUCAGUGCGGAAAGAGGAAAAACCUGUUCUCCAUGCGUUACCUAAUGUAGAGCAGUGCCCCACAGAGUUAGACAACUCAUCCCUGUAUACGUGUACGUGUAUGUGUACGUCCGUACCUAGAUGUAAACAUCUAAGAAGAAGGUUACAGGUAUUUGCCGCAUCUCCAGAAAGACUAACGUGUGACGGUUAAAUACUCUCAGCAAAAAUUUUCAAGCUGGCGUGUUGUGGACUUACUUCUAACUUCCGGAACUUACUCAUUCUUGUCAAGUCAUGGUAUAAAGCUCCAACACCUAUGGAGGAACAUUGGGACCCGCCGAGAUUGAAGACAAAGAGAUGUAUACUGCAUCAGAGGGACACAGGAAGUACAGUAAACAACUUGGAGAAGGAUGUCUACGCGCACAGGUCCCAGCAGUGGCAGAAGUAUGGAAGUCAAGGAGCUCUGCUUUCUUAUGAGAUUGUUGAACCUCAACCGGACUGAAUCUGAGCACAAUCUUAACAAUUGUAAAUAGAAGUACGGAUACACAUGUACAUGUAGUCACCUCUACAUAACGACUACCUGGCCAGUGUGACCCCUUUUUGGUGGUCCUUUUACACAAGAAUUAAUCAACAUAUAGUGACCACCUGUCCAUAUAGACCAGGCUUAAUUGGUCCCCUGAGUGGUCUUCUUGGGCAGAGUUGACUGUACAGCAGCGUUUUAUAAAGCAAACUCGUCUGUUGGACUGAACCAUUUAACAGAAGUGAAACAAGCUGAUAAAACAUUCCCCAAGGUGGUUGCUGAGUUCACGGAGGUUGUAACCCCCUUGCAAACUGAAGAACGAGUAAAUAUUAUAUUCUCUACACAUAAUAAGAUCAUGUAAUAUUUCACCGGACAAAUCCGGACUGUCCAUCAUAAUUAGCAUUAAUAGCAUGGUCAUUAGCAGUCCAACCAAUAGCAAUGAGUGGCUGUAUGUCUUUGAAAUAGUUUUUUUCAAUGUUUUUAUUUUGCAUUACUUGGUUUUGACGUCAGUUGAAUGGAAUCGGUCUGUAUGAUUUGUGUAUACUGGUACAAGAUUUACUUUUUGAAUACUUUACAUAUACUGUAUAUGGACAAGAAUGGUGCUGGAAAAUGAUAUGAAAGAUAUAUGUGGUGUCAAAGCUUAACUUUAUUUUACAACAGGUAUCAUGAAAAACAAAACAUGUCCAGGAAUGGAUAGAUCAUUUUAAUAAAAACACUACUUACAAAAAUGUAUCAAUAAGUUACAAUAUACAAACAUUGAGGUCACAUGUGCAUGGUUACAAGAUGUAACUAAUGAAAUG